UGCUUUCAGAAGAACAAGUCUCUCCUCUCCCCCGGUUUGCAUACCUCGGUCCUCGGGUUUCUGCGGCCUAUCGACUCUGAGACCGGAAGAUCGCUGCAGGCUUCGGAGGAUGGAGUAACAGAGUGCUACUUAUGGUGUUACACUGAGUGGAUUUUCUGCUGAGAUAGUAUCGUGAAGGACUGGAGAAACAUGUCAGGACAGUCAAUAUCAUUACCUGUCCAUUUGAAAGCAAAUCAAUUUUGGGGAUUGAUCUUUAUUGCAUUUGGGUUCAUUUCAUUUGUGGGAUUUUCCUAUGCUGCUAUACUAUCCAAGCUUCUUCCACAAUCUGAGAAUAUAUUUUUAUCUGCCAUUCAGAGUGACAGAUACUACUGCCUACUGGUCCCCUUGACACUACCUGUACUUGUCGUGGCAGUGUACUUUCAUUGGCUCAGCAUGAAGCUUUUCAAGCAUGCAUAAAAUUAGCUCCAUCAGUUACAGAUAUCCAAAGACUAUCUAAAUUAUUAUAAUCUUGCCCAAAGGUGGUUCGAUGUGCUCUUUUUUAUCACGGAUUUUUGCAUAUGAUGAAGCACCAUGUAGCCCUUAAUGAUGAUGGGAACCCAACAACAUUCUUGAAUGAUGCUUUUCUUGACUCUCAUGUAAACACAAGCCAUGAUGCAUCCAAUUAAUUGCCUCGUCUUCUACAAUAUGGGUAGUAUUGUAUAUAUUAUUUUAUUGUAUAUUGUCAAGUUAACAUGCUAACAUGUGAUUGGAGCCAGUACUAAGAAAAAUUGUCAUGUAGGGCUGGUUAAUUGAACAGUUACAGGACAGAUGCCCUUAAGCAUUUCUCGUUAAAAAUUCAGAUAAAUUCAAAAUUAUUUUCAACUAUAUCCUGCCAAGUUAGCACGCGAGAACAACAACAUAGUAUACUGUUCAAUACUCUUGCAUUCAUGCUUAGAUGUCCCUCCUUUUAGUAACUAUUGAAAUAGUGAUGUCUUGACAAUGAUGAUGAUGAUGACGGUUACCACCAUCUAUCGUACCUAUCUCCAUAAUAGACUACUGCUGGUGGGUCUACACUUAUUUUCUAGCCUUUUAUGUACUAUAUAGUAAAUUAUCAAAUGUCAUAGGCCACAUGAUUCUCUUAUUAAAAAAGAAAAAUACUGCAUAUCAAGCAAGCUUCCAAUAACAAUGUUACUACAACGAUUCUCUACUAAAAAUCACUAUUAAUCAUUAUAAUGGCUACAAAUUUACCUUAUAUUAUUAAUUUGGAUUUUUUUGUAACACUGAAAUUUGUAUUUGGAUCCUUUCUGAUUUGAAUUUGCAAUGACAACCAUUUAUAUAUUGCACGAUAGCCAUGAUUGGAUGAUCUUACACAUUUAUAAAGCAUAUUGUAAAAUAAUGGGGCUGAUGCAAUUACAAACACCAUGCAAUACAUGGACUGCUAUGUUUGCAGGUCAUCCCUCUCUAGUUCAAUGCCAAACUAGAGAGGAUCCAAAGUCGUCACAAAAUUAGAUUGAAUCUGUAGAAUGCUCUCUCUCACAUGAAGAGUAUAUAUACUUUUUAAUUUGUGUCAUAACUAUUAAUAUAAAUUAUUUUAGUUGAAAAAUAUAUUGAAUUAGGAUUUAAUAAAAAGGAAUUUUAUUCAUUAUCUACCACUAGGGAAAAUCAAUGCCAGUAGAAAGGAAUUGGAAUGGGCUCCUCUUGUUUAUUAUUGCAGUUAUAUAUUCUAAUAUGACGAUUUAUUUGUUAUAGUGGCAAAAAAGAAACCAUGACUUUAUAUACCAACCAUGUAAUACAUGGGUCAAAUAGUUAUAAAGAUGUUUCUAUUAGAAAACAAUUUGACUUGGUUGAUGUCGAGCAUGCGAUGAUUGAUGAGAGAAGUGGUGGGCUCUUUUUUAUUCCUCGACAAUGAGGACUUAAAAUCUGUCAUAUGAUUUAAAUGUUUGGCUAUAACAUUAGAGAUGUGUUGAGGUAGUUUGUCCCUGAACUUUUGAAAAUUAUUUCGUGCUUCAUUCAUAUGAUAAUGAUCAUUUUCUAAAUUAGAAUAAUAAUUAUCAUAUGAAUCAUAUGCUUUUUAUGAUAAUUAUCAUCAUAGAAACAAUGAUCAUAAUAAAUGAAGAAUGCAGAAUGAAUUGAGAAACACCAUGAAAAAGUGAGUAAGAACUACUAGAUAAAUUCUAGGGUAUGUCGAACUUACACUCUAGAGAAAAGAAAAGAAAAAAGGUACAUUGGAUAGCCUUAGAAGCCUUGUCCAUUUUUCUGAAUAUCCAUUGAAUGUGUAUAGAGCGUGAGGGAUCAUGAAUGGAGCUUCUCUUCCUUCUUAUAAUGUAGAUUGGUAGUUAUCUCCAUUAAUAACUAUGAUCUUUUAUUGUUUGCGCUAGUAUCUUCUUAUGGGUGGUUGCCGAUUGUUCUCCUAUAUGGAUAAUUUUUUUGUGUAACUAACUUUCUCUAGGUAGUUAACUCCAGCAAUAAACUACCCAUGUAUUGUCUUUUGUGUAAAUAACAAGUGGCUAACCUUGAUCCAUCCAAUUGCUAAGAUAUAAUUGAUUAAUAAAAAAUCUUGGUUGAUAUAAUUACCGACCACUUUUUUUGGAGUUGGUUGAUGAUCCAUUAAUUUUUAAAAGGUAAGUGCAGUUUUGUACCCUUUUUGAAUUUCAACCGCAAGGUUGUUUGGAACUGAGCAAAUGAGUUUAUAUUUCAAUUUAAGUUACAUGUAUUCAGAAUUGCAUGUAGCUUAGUAACAGAUAGGUGAUUUUAUUAUAUUUGAAAGGCCAUUACUGGAGAUGAUGUUGUUAUAAUUGUCUUUUAGUUUGAAAGGCUAGAACUGGAGGUUUUAUGUUUAAUGAAACAGCUUGGUUACAAGAAACUACAAGAAUUGCAGACAUCUGGAAAAUUAAGAUAAUGAACUUAUCCUAUUUCUCGUGUGCUUUUUUGCUGGAUAUAGUUUAUGGUUCUUGCAUAUCAUUAAGCAUCAUAUAACCCUUGUGUUUGGAGCCCCUAAACCCUACAUGAAUAAUGCUUGUUUUAACUCUCCUUAGGCACAAGCAAUAACACAGGAAUCUUGGUCCAAACUAACUGCAGUUUUUUUUGUGUGCAACCAUAUGGGUUUUGAUUUCAGCAGUCAAGAGUGGUUAAGCUUUAGGUUCAUCAGUUGCAGUGGAUAUCCUACAAAAACCAGAAUUAUCAAUUAAUAUUAGGGGAAAAUAUGGAGAAAAAUGAAAUUAACAGAACUCAACUAGGACUUUAUCGCAAACUAGUUGAGGUUGGCUACAUAAAUCCUUUUUCUCCAUUCCGCUCUAUUUAGGGCCAUGCUUUCUGAAAGAUGUUGAGAU